UGGUAGAUGCACCCUGAUAACUAAAUCUCCCCCUAGUCGGACAAAACCGCUGGGGGUUUUUUCU
rnacentral:sRNA from 1 species